rnacentral:rRNA from 1 species
GAUGAACGCUGGCGGCGUGCCUAAUACAUACAAGUCGAGCGAACGGACGAGAAGCUUGCUUUUCUGAUGUUAGCGGCGGACGGGUGAGUAACACGUGGAUAACCUACCUAUAAGACUGGGAUAACUUCGGGAAACCGGAGCUAAUACCGGAUAAUAUUUUGAACCGCAUGGUUCAAAAGUGAAAGACGGUCUUGCUGUCACUUAUAGAUGGAUCCGCGCUGCAUUAGCUAGUUGGUAAGGUAACGGCUUACCAAGGCAACGAUGCAUAGCCGACCUGUGAGGGUGAUCGGCCACACUGGAACUGAGACACGGUCCAGACUCCUACGGGAGGCAGCAGUAGGGAAUCUUCCGCAAUGGGCGAAAGCCUGACGGAGCAACGCCGCGUGAGUGAUGAAGGUCUUCGGAUCGUAAAACUCUGUUAUUAGGGAAGAACAUAUGUGUAAGUAACUGUGCACAUCUUGACGGUACCUAAUCAGAAAGCCACGGCUAACUACGUG